rnacentral:lncRNA from 1 species
AAUUUCCGAAUCCGACCCGUUGACAUCUCUAAGCGAGAAGCGGGGACCUCGCAGGAGAGGAUCGCUACACCCGUCCGCGAUAAUGGGUCCUGCAGUAUCAUUUUGCUUUAGAAAUAAAUUUUUCUUACUUAUUUUUGAAAUAGUAUAAAUUUUAAGAUAAGUAGGAAUAAAAUUUAUUUUACGUUGUUUUCGAAAUAAGAAAAUCACGUUCGAAGAGUUAGAUUAGAAUAGUAAGAAUAAAAGUAAUUAUUAUUUUAAAAUAAUAAUAUUUUAUCUAAUUAAUUAAUUGAAUAUUAAUUUAAUAAUAACUUAAACUAUUUAAUUAACUAAUCUAGACUAUAUAUAAAAGCGUAUAGAAAUGACAUGUAAAAGCGUAUAAAAGCGUAUAUUAAUUAAUAAAAUAAUUAACAAUGAGUACAACUAAUUAAAUUAUUAAUUAACCAUGUGUAAAUUAAUAAAUUAAUAAAUCAAUUAUUUAAUUAUAUAAUAGUUAGUAAUUAGUUAAUAAAAUAAUUGGAUUAAUUAAAAUAUUAAUUAUUUACUAAUCAACAUAAAUAUUAGCCAAUUGUU